AGCGCAGAGGAGUGGGUGGGCGCUCCAGCGUAGUUAACUGUCGGCUCGGGCAAGGCGGGCGAGCUGUGAGUCCUGCACCCUCCUCUGGUGCACAGCGCACCUCUCUCGGCUGCCGGUUCCUGUUUUGUUUUGGUGCUGCCGCCCAGGCGCGCGCUGCAGCCCUCCUGGCCAAGUCUUGGAUGAUGAACGUCGAGCCUCCCCCCCCCCCCAGGCUUCUGCUUUCAUCCCACCGGUAUCUUAGAGGGUGGUGGUCAGUCUGGAGUUCCUGUACCUUUUAGGGACGUGAAGAGGUUGUUGUGGGACUGCAGAAAACCCAGCUACUCCGAGCUCAGACUUCCAGAUAACUGGUGCACAUGACCCUUGAUCUCUCAAACUGGGGAAAGUCACCAUGUCUCAAGGACUGUCUCAUAGACAUAGUAUUUUUACAUUUCUCUGGGGCCCAUGGGUGAGAAUUUGGGAAAAGGAAGCUUGGUGUAGGAAAGAGAGGAGGGGGCUGGCGCGAUACCUGCUCCUGCAGCUGGCCUGGGACGGGAUAGGACUACAGGUCCUGUGAGCACUGACCACAGGUCAGCAUCCACAUGACUGAGCUAUGGUCACUGGGCCCCUUUGGCUCAUACUGAACUUUUGUGCAAAAUAAAGCCCUGGCCUGGAUGAAUGGGCAGAACCCAAGUGUCACAGCAGGCAGGGGGGGGUAAGCAGGGAAGAGCCUCCUCUGGCCUCAAGGGUAGACUCUUGUAGGGUGCUUAUGACAGAACAGGCUGACUUUUCCCUUUGGCAGCUUGUAUUUUAGGGGCGACUCAGUAAGUGAAUUAAACAGAUUCACGUUGUCAUCUCAGAUCCUGCUAGACACACUAGGAAGAAAGCAAGAAAUUGAAGAGUGAGCCACUUACACACACAGGUCAGGGAGAGGCUUGAAGACAGGCUGAGGCUGUAGCUACAAGCAAAGCUGCAAACCAGCUUCACACAGUGUCUCCCACCUAUGAGGCGGCCUUGCCCAACAGCUUCUCACCUCUCAAGCCAACAGGCUACCAGAUCUCAGCCCUCUUAAGGCACAGGCUGGUGGCUGGAGGGAUCUUGGCCAACGGAAAGAGGCUGGCAGAAAUUUGCCUGCCCUCCUAUCAUCUCCACGAAAGGCAGUGGCCUCCUGAAACCCUUCACGAGCCUCCAUCUAGCUGUUUAUUUAUAGUCUGUGGCCAGCUCAGAAGAAUAAAACAAAGCAAAAUAAAAAUAA